UACGAAGGGGCUAGCGUUGCUCGGAAUUACUGGGCGUAAAGGGUGCGUAGGCGGGUCGUUAAGUCAGAGGUGGAAAUCCUGGAGCUCAACUCCAGAACUGCCUUUGAUACUGAGGAUCUUGAGUUCGGGAGAGGUGAGUGGAACUGCGAGUGUAGAGGUGAAAUUCGUAGAUAUUCGCAAGAACACCAGUGGCGAAGGCGGCUCACUGGUCCGAUACUGACGCUGAGGUGCGAAAGCGUGGGGGCAAACAGG
rnacentral:rRNA from 1 species